rnacentral:rRNA from 1 species
UACGUAGGGGGCAAGCGUUGUCCGGAUUUAUUGGGCGUAAAGAGCGUGUAGGCGGCCAUACAGGUCAGCUGUGAAAACUCGAGGCUCAACCUCGAGACGUCGGUUGAAACCGUAUGGCUAGAGUCCGGAAGAGGAGAGUGGAAUUCCCGGUGUAGCGGUGAAAUGCGCAGAUAUCAGGAGGAACACCGGUGGCGAAGGCGGCCUUCUGGACGGUAACUGACGCUGAGACGCGAAAGCGUGGGGAGCAAACAGG